rnacentral:lncRNA from 1 species
CAAGCAGUGUUUUUGGUAGGUUUUAAUAAACAGACUUUUCAAAAGACGGCAAUAUAGAAUUGUUAGAUCCGUUGUUGAUCUAAAAAUAUUUGCUUUAUAUUUUCAUUAAAUGACUUCUUUUAAUAUUUUAUUCAGAAUACUUAUGAACUGCUGCAAAACGGUAAUUUAUUUUUCCCCAGAUCUUGUAUUACGUGUUUUUUUCAGACGAGCACAAAUCAAAAUGAAAUGAAAAUAUGGACAGUUGUUAGGUAAUAAGGAGAUCGGAAAGGAGCAGAGGAGGAGGGGGGUGCUGGGGCCCAGGCGGCGGGCGUCAAACGCCCAGCUUCCCCCGGGGACGCAGCGCAGGUGGGGCGGUGGCUGUCGCGGGAGGAGGGGGGGCGGUGGCCCGACCCUGCCCGGCCGGGCUCUGCUCAGCGGCCCGGCCGUAACAGCUGCGGACAGUCCCACAAGCUGUUUUCCUCGUGGCGACCAUUCAGCAAAACGCACGAUCCUUUCUCAAAGAUUUAAAUUUCGCGGAUGAAUUACCAUACACCGGUUGCUUAGCAACUAUAUUCAAGCAGGGCUAAGAAUAUGCAAGCUUUUUGUAUUCUCAUUAAUAAAAAUGCCACUCUGACACA